UACGGAGGGUGCAAGCGUUAUCCGGAUUCACUGGGUUUAAAGGGUGCGUAGGUGGGUUGGUAAGUCAGUGGUGAAAUCCCCGAGCUUAACUUGGGAACUGCCAUUGAUACUAUCAGUCUUGAAUACCGUGGAGGUCAGCGGAAUAUGUCAUGUAGCGGUGAAAUGCUUAGAUAUGACAUAGAACACCAAUUGCGAAGGCAGCUGGCUACACGAAUAUUGACACUGAUGCACGAAAGCGUGGGGAUCAAACAGG
rnacentral:rRNA from 1 species